GUACUCGGUUCGGUAGCACAUACACUAAAAUUAGAACGAUACAGAGAAGAUUAGCAUGGCCCCUGCACAAGGGUGACAUGAAAAUUUGUGAAAUGUUCCACAUUUUU